GUAGGGAAUAUUGGGCAAUGGAGGCAACUCUGACCCAGCCAUGCCGCGUGCAGGAAGACGGUCCUCUGGAUUGUAAACUGCUUUUGAAUGGGAAGAAACGCACUUUUGCGAAAGUGUUUGACGGUACUAUUAGAAUAAGCACCGGCUAACUCCGUGCCAGCAGCCGCGGUAAUACGGAGGGUGCAAGCGUUAUCCGGCUUUAUUGGGUUUAAAGGGUGCGUCGGCGGCUUGAUAAGUCUGGGGUUAAAGGCGGCAGCUUAACUGUACGCAUGCCAUAGAUACUGGUGAGCUUGAGUGACCUGGAGGUAGCUGGAAUUCCCUGUGUAGCGGUGAAAUGCAUAGAUACGGGGAGGAAUACCGAUUGCGAAGGCAUGUUACUACGGGGAAACUGACGCUGAUGCACGAAAGCGUGGGGAUCAAACAGGAUUAGAAACCCGGGUAGUCC
rnacentral:rRNA from 1 species